CAGCCGAAGUCUCCCUUGCCCCCCACCCCCACCCCCCUGCAGCACCUCCCUCCGUCAAGCAGCCGGCGACGCCCAUCAACGCCGGCGAGCAAAGAGGGAAGGAUGUUACUGGUGAGGAAUUAGUCAAGCCUUAUACUCCGACUCACUGGAUUCUGAUAUUGGAUACUUUGAGCUUGUUUUAAAGGUGACCCGGAGUGGCAGGCAGCUACAUGUUGGUCUGCUGAGAAGAUCAAACGCGCUAAGAAGAUCAAGCAGGCAGAGAAAAAAGUCCGUGGUUCUAGAUUCUCAGCCAAGGCAGAGAAGACUGAUGGUAGGCAGGGUGUGCUUGUCUGUACAAAAAACAUCAUAGAUUUAAUGAGUAUGUGGGAGGUUGAAGAUGAUGUUCAAUGAGUUCUUGGCUUUCAUGAGUAUGUAGUCAUUUCUCCGGUUGUUGUAAUUGAACACAUGCAUGUGUGUGUCUGCUUGUGUGCCGCUAUUAGCCCCCUCCUUUAGGUUCUUUGCUUUAGUCUGUUGUGGCCAGCUAUUAGCCCCCUCCUAUAAUUCAGAGUUCUUUUACAACAAAUCAGAGAAGGGUAGGUAAUAUUCUUUGCUUGUUUCAUGAAAUGUGCCUGUGCAAAUUUGCAUCAAUC